GGUUAAGCGACUAAGCGUACACGGUGGAUGCCCUGGCAGUCAGAGGCGAUGAAGGACGUGCUAAUCUGCGAUAAGCGUCGGUAAGGUGAUAUGAACCGUUAUAACCGGCGAUUUCCGAAUGGGGAAACCCAGUGUGAUUCGUCACACUAUCAUUGCGUGAAUACAUAGCGUAAUGAAGCGAACCGGGGGAACUGAAACAUCUAAGUACCCCGAGGAAAAGAAAUCAACCGAGAUUCCCCCAGUAGCGGCGAGCGAACGGGGAGCAGCCCAGAGUCUGAAUCAGCUUGUGUGUUAGUGGAACGGUCUGGAAAGUCCGACGGUACAGGGUGAUAGUCCCGUACACCAAAAUGCACAGGUUGUGAACUCGAAGAGUAGGGCGGGACACGUGGUAUCCUGUCUGAAUAUGGGGGGACCAUCCUCCAAGGCUAAAUACUCCUGACUGACCGAUAGUGAACCAGUACCGUGAGGGAAAGGCGAAAAGAACCCCGGCGAGGGGAGUGAAAAAAGAACCUGAAACCGUGUACGUACAAGCAGUGGGAGCCUACUUGUUAGGUGACUGCGUACCUUUUGUAUAAUGGGUCAGCGACUUAUAUUCUGUAGCAAGGUUAACCGUAUAGGGGAGCCGAAGGGAAACCGAGUCUUAACUGGGCGUUAAGUUGCAGGGUAUAGACCCGAAACCCGGUGAUCUAGCCAUGGGCAGGUUGAAGGUUGGGUAACACUAACUGGAGGACCGAACCGACUAAUGUUGAAAAAUUAGCGGAUGACUUGUGGCUGGGGGUGAAAGGCCAAUCAAACCGGGAGAUAGCUGGUUCUCCCCGAAAGCUAUUUAGGUAGCGCCUCGUGAAUUCAUCUUCGGGGGUAGAGCACUGUUUCGGCUAGGGGGUCAUCCCGACUUACCAACCCGAUGCAAACUGCGAAUACCGAAGAAUGUUAUCACGGGAGACACACGGCGGGUGCUAACGUCCGUCGUGAAGAGGGAAACAACCCAGACCGCCAGCUAAGGUCCCAAAGUCAUGGUUAAGUGGGAAACGAUGUGGGAAGGCACAGACAGCCGGGAUGUUGGCUUAGAAGCAGCCAUCAUUUAAAGAAAGCGUAAUAGCUCACUGGUCGAGUCGGCCUGCGCGGAAGAUGUAACGGGGCUAAACCAUGCACCGAAGCUGCGGCAGCGACACUAUGUGUUGUUGGGUAGGGGAGCGUUCUGUAAGCCGUUGAAGGUGUAUCGUGAGGUAUGCUGGAGGUAUCAGAAGUGCGAAUGCUGACAUAAGUAACGAUAAUGCGGGUGAAAAACCCGCACGCCGGAAGACCAAGGGUUCCUGUCCAACGUUAAUCGGGGCAGGGUGAGUCGACCCCUAAGGCGAGGCCGAAAGGCGUAGUCGAUGGGAAACAGGUUAAUAUUCCUGUACUUGGUGUUACUGCGAAGGGGGGACGGAGAAGGCUAUGUUAGCCGGGCGACGGUUGUCCCGGUUUAAGCAUGUAGGCGGAGGUUCCAGGUAAAUCCGGUACCUUUUUAACGCUGAGGUGUGAUGACGAGGCACUACGGUGCUGAAGUAACAAAUGCCCUGCUUCCAGGAAAAGCCUCUAAGCAUCAGGUAACACGAAAUCGUACCCCAAACCGACACAGGUGGUCAGGUAGAGAAUACCAAGGCGCUUGAGAGAACUCGGGUGAAGGAACUAGGCAAAAUGGUGCCGUAACUUCGGGAGAAGGCACGCUGAUAUGUAGGUGAAGUGAUUUACUCAUGGAGCUGAAAUCAGUCGAAGAUACCAGCUGGCUGCAACUGUUUAUUAAAAACACAGCACUGUGCAAACACGAAAGUGGACGUAUACGGUGUGACGCCUGCCCGGUGCCGGAAGGUUAAUUGAUGGGGUUAUCCGUAAGGAGAAGCUCUUGAUCGAAGCCCCGGUAAACGGCGGCCGUAACUAUAACGGUCCUAAGGUAGCGAAAUUCCUUGUCGGGUAAGUUCCGACCUGCACGAAUGGCGUAAUGAUGGCCAGGCUGUCUCCACCCGAGACUCAGUGAAAUUGAACUCGCUGUGAAGAUGCAGUGUACCCGCGGCAAGACGGAAAGACCCCGUGAACCUUUACUAUAGCUUGACACUGAACACUGGUCCUUGAUGUGUAGGAUAGGUGGGAGGCUUUGAAGUGUGGACGCCAGUCUGCAUGGAGCCAUCCUUGAAAUACCACCCUUUAAUGGCUGGUGUUCUAACGUGGACCCGUUACCCGGGUUGCGGACAGUGUCUGGUGGGUAGUUUGACUGGGGCGGUCUCCUCCUAAAGAGUAACGGAGGAGCACGAAGGUUAGCUAAUCCUGGUCGGACAUCAGGAGGUUAGUGCAAAGGCAUAAGCUAGCUUGACUGCGAGAGUGACGGCUCGAGCAGGUGCGAAAGCAGGUCUUAGUGAUCCGGUGGUUCUGAAUGGAAGGGCCAUCGCUCAACGGAUAAAAGGUACUCCGGGGAUAACAGGCUGAUACCGCCCAAGAGUUCAUAUCGACGGCGGUGUUUGGCACCUCGAUGUCGGCUCAUCACAUCCUGGGGCUGAAGUAGGUCCCAAGGGUAUGGCUGUUCGCCAUUUAAAGUGGUACGCGAGCUGGGUUUAGAACGUCGUGAGACAGUUCGGUCCCUAUCUGCCGUGGGCGCUGGAGAAUUGAGGGGGCUGCUCCUAGUACGAGAGGACCGGAGUGGACGCAUCACUGGUGUUCGGGUUGUCAUGCCAAUGGCAUUGCCCGGUAGCUAAAUGCGGAAGAGAUAAGUGCUGAAAGCAUCUAAGCACGAAACUUGCCCCGAGAUGAGUUCUCCCUGAGACUAUAAGUCUCCUGAAGGAACGUUAAAGACGAUGACGUUGAUAGGUCGGGUGUGUAAGUGUAGCGAUACAUUGAGCUAACCGAUACUAAUGAACCGUGAGGCUUAACCUU
rnacentral:rRNA from 1 species